CAAAGAACUUUGAAGAGAGAGUUCAAUAGGACGUGAAACCGUACUGAGAAUAAACGUGCGAGUUAAGACGUUGGUGUAGAUUCAUCAAUGCCUGUGCAUUGUGCAUUUCUGCGCCGCGGUGGUCGGAGAGCUGAGCGAUUCAAUGUUUCAUGUGGCGGGCUGCCUUGGCAGUGUCCUGCAUGUUGCUCAGAACACGAGGUUCUCAUCAAUUGGUGCCAUGCUCAUGGUCGGCGCUUCAAUGUGUCGUCAGUGAUGGCGCAUCAGACUACCAGAGUUUGAUCCUGCACGACCCGUCUUGAAACACGGACCAAGGAGUCUAAAUUGUGCGCGAGCCAUUGGAUAUUAUCUCCAUAGGCGAAACGAAUGUAAUGAGGUUGGAUCUUAUUGCGCACCUCAAACGUGUGCUUUGUUCGCAUUGCGCUCAGUCAGAGUGCACAGAUUAGUACCCGAAAGAUGGUGAACUAUGCUUGAGCAGGACGAAGCUAGAGGAAACUCUGGUGGAAGUCCGAAGCGGUUCUGACGUGCAAAUCGAUCGUCAGACUUGAGUAUAGGGGCGAAAGACUAAUCGAACCAUC
rnacentral:rRNA from 3 species